rnacentral:rRNA from 1 species
UACAGAGGGGGCAAGCGUUGUUCGGAAUUACUGGGCGUAAAGGGCGCGUAGGCGGCCUGCUAAGUCGAACGUGAAAUCCCUGGGCUCAACCCAGGAACUGCGUCCGGUACUGGUUGGCUUGAAUCCGGGAGAGGGAUGUGGAAUUCCAGGUGUAGCGGUGAAAUGCGUAGAUAUCUGGAGGAACACCGGUGGCGAAGGCGGCAUCCUGGACCGGCAUUGACGCUGAGGCGCGAAAGCCAGGGGAGCAAACGGG